rnacentral:rRNA from 1 species
UACGUAUGGUGCAAGCGUUAUCCGGAUUUACUGGGUGUAAAGGGAGCGUAGACGGCUGUGCAAGUCUGAAGUGAAAGGCCGGGGCCCAACCCCGGGAGUGCUUUGGAAACUGUGCGGCUAGGGUGUCGGAGAGGCAAGUGGAAUUCCCAGUGUAGCGGUGAAAUGCGUAGAUAUUGGGAGGAACACCAGUGGCGAAGGCGUCUUGCUGGACGAUGACUGACGUUGAGGCUCGAAAGCGUGGGGAGCAAACAGG